AACCUGGUUGAUCUGCCAGUAGUCAUAUGCUUUGUUCAAGGGCUAAGCCAUGCAUGUCUCAGCGCAAACGGUUCAACAGUGGGUCUGUGAAUGGCUCCUUACAUCAGCAGUCAUCUCCGUGAUAGAGUGUGGAUGCAGCAUUGCCAGGCUGCCCAUCGGACAUCCACAAAAACCUUGUGGCUAAUACACGGAAGCAACAGUCUGACUCUGCCAAAGCCUUCCGCCCUGGGGCUCUGCCCUAGUGGAUGAGAGUUGGAUUGCAACCAGCCGAGAGAAAGACCAGUGCCCUUAAUCGGGCAGAGUCUGGCUGAAUCAGGCUGGUCCGAAUGGACAUUGUGCUGGCUUGCAAGUCGUGGUUCUACCACGCGUGAGCUUGAUCACACGAACUUCUGACCUAUCAGCUUGGACUGUGGUGUAGCGGACCACAGUGGCUAUGACGGGUAACGGAGAAUUUGGGUUCGAUUCCGGAGAGGGAGCCUGAGAGACGGCUACCACUGCCAAGGCGGGCAGCAGGCGCGCAAAUUGCCCAAUGCCAAAACGUGGCGAGGCAGCGACGAACUGCAGCAAUUCUGCUGGUAUUUCACCAGCAGGACUUGGAAUGGAUGCUAUCCAAACACAGUGAUGAGUAACGACUGGAGGGCAAGUCUGGUGCCAGCAGCUGCGGUAAUUCCAGCUCCAAGGGCGUAUACUAACAUUGCUGCUGUUAAAGCACUUGUAGUCUGCCACUGGGCUGCAGGUCUGCUGGGCGGCCUGGCGUUUGCCUGGAGCACUUCGGUGCAAAGGGUGAGUGCUGGGGUAAAACCCCCAGCAGAGUGUCCUGCUCCCGCAUUCAACGAUGGUGAGAAGAGCUCCUGCUUGAAGUCUCCUUCAGUGGAGGUUGAGGCGGUUUUGCGCCAAAAGCACGCUUCGUGGGGGUAGAGGCUGAGACAUCUCAUGAUGUUGUCUCGCUGCCCACCACCGGAGUCCACCAUCAGUGACACCCUGGAAAACUCAGUGUGCUCCAAGCGUCCUGUCCGAAAGGCUGGAUGCCUGUCCAUGGAAUGUCAAAGCACCGACCGGAUGUGGCAAUGGAGUUGUACUGGGCUUGAUGCCCAUUCAGGACAAUGUGGUGCUGACCCCAGCUUCAGGGCCUGCCUCCGGGGUGGGUUUCCUGCUGCCUGUGGGUCAGUUUCSGACCGAAGACGAUGGGAGUGCUCAGGGUGAAAGGUAUGGCAACGCCAGAGGUGAAAUUCUUAGACCGCUGCUGGACCAACUGCAGCGAAGGCGUUCUGCAAGUGCACGUUCGUCGAUCAAGAAUGAGAGUGUGGGGAGCGAAGAUGAUCAGACACCGUCGUAGUCCACAACUGUAAACGAUGCCAGCUCGGCAUUGUGAGGCAAGUCCUCARACCCUAUCAGUGCCAUUGUCCCCUGCAACGAGAAAUCCAAGCCAUUGGGUUCAGGGGGGAGUACUGUCGCAAGGCUUGGAACUUAAAGGAAUUGACGGAAUGGCACCACAAGGCGUGGAGUAUGCGGCUUAAUUUGACUCAACACGGGGAAUGUUACCAGGUCAGGACCUUGCCGGGAUGGACAGAUUGAGAGCUCUUUCUUGAUCCUUGGGAUGGUGGUGCAUGGCCGCUCCUGAUUGGUGGAGUGAUUUGUCUGGUUGAUUCCGGAUAACGAGUGAGAUAUCUGCCUGCCACUAGCCCCAGUCUCGCAUUUGUAAGGCGGGCCUCAGUGAGGGCCAGUCCGCUGGUUCCGAGCUGCAGGUCCCCUGAGAGUUCUGGGCUGCUUCUCUGAGGUGCUGUGUUCGUUGCCAAGAGCACGCAUGCUAGAGCCAACAGCAGGUCUGUGAUGCUCCCAGAUGUCCUGGGCCGCACGCGCACUACAUUGAUUCAGUGAAGGUGUUGUGCUCCUUCGUGGAGCCCUGCCCAGAAGUGGGUGGGAAACCCUGCAAGCCUGAGUCGCGCUGGGGAUAGAUGAUUGCAACUGUCUGCCUUGAACGAGGAAUGCCUAGUAUGCGCGUGUCAUCAGCACGCACCGAUUGUGUCCCUGCCAUUUGUACACACCGCCCGUCGUUGCUACCGAUGACAGCUGGAUAGAGCCAUCAGGAGGUUGUGAGGCUUCAAGUCUCAGCCAAAUUGGGCAAUGUCCAGCUGUUAGAGGAAGCAAAAGUCGUAACAAGGUUGUUGUAGGUGAACUUGCAAAAGAUCAAA
rnacentral:rRNA from 1 species